GUCUGGGAAAUCCUCUGAGCACUAACUACAGCACUGCCAGUCAUCUAACACAUGGCCUUCCCCAGGUUCUACUCCCUUGUUCCUCGUAUAUAAUGGCAAACAACUUGCAGUGAUGCUCUUGGGGGACUCCUUGUUAUGGGAGGAAUUCAGGACCCCUGGAUAUAAAACACCACAAGCAACUACUGAGC